rnacentral:rRNA from 1 species
GACGGAAGGUGCAAGCGUUGCUCGGAAUCACUGGGCGUAAAGGGUGCGUAGGCGGCUUGGUAAGUUGGGUGUGAAAGCCCCGGGCUCAGCCCGGGAAGGGCACUCGAAACUGCCGAGCUGGAGUGCCGGAGGGGAGAGUGGAAUUCCUGGUGUAGCGGUGAAAUGCGCAGAUAUCAGGAGGAACACCGGUGGCGAAGGCGGGUCUCUGGGCCGAUACUGACGCUGAGGAGCGAAAGCGUGGGGAGCGAACAGG